rnacentral:rRNA from 1 species
CCUANGGGAGGCUGCAGUCGGGAAUUGUGGGCAAUGGGCGAAAGCCUGACCCAGCAACGCCGCGUGAAGGAUGAAGUAUUUCGGUAUGUAAACUUCGUAAAAAUAGGAAGAAUUAAUGACGGUACUAUUUGUAAGGUCCGGCUAACUACGUGCCAGCAGCCGCGGUAAUACGUAGGGACCAAGCGUUGUUCGGAUUUACUGGGCGUAAAGGGCGCGUAGGCGGCGUGACAAGUCACUUGUGAAAUCUCCGGGCUUAACUCGGAACGGUCAAGUGAUACUGUCGUGCUAGAGUGCAGAAGGGGCAAUCGGAAUUCUUGGUGUAGCGGUGAAAUGCGUAGAUAUCAAGAGGAACACCUGAGGUGAAGACGGGUUGCUGGGCUGACACUGACGCUGAGGCGCGAAAGCUAGGGGAGCAAACGGGAUUAGAUACCCCGNUANUC